AACUAACAAGGAUUCCCUCAGUAACUGCGAGUGAAGAGGGAAAAGCCCAGCACCGAAGGUAGUAUUUUUUUGAAUACUUACCAAUGUGGUGUUUAGGUCGGCUCACGGAAGUGUGGCUCCAUCUCAAGUCCUGCAUUGAGUACGGUUUUUUGGACUUGGCCCACAGUGGGUGAAAGGCCCGUGGAGGUGGAGUUCAGGUAUGUCCACAUUUUCUGUGUUCGAUCUUGGAGUCGGGUUGUUUGUGAAUGCAGCCCAAAGUGGGUGGUAGACUCCAUCCAAGGCUAAAUACUUGCACGAGUCCGAUAGCGAACAAGUACCGUGAGGGAAAGUUGAAAAGUACUUUGAAGAGAGAGUAAACAGUGCGUGAAGCCGCAUAGAGGUUAAACGGGUAGAGUUAAGCUGCGUGAUCUGUGGAUUCAGCUGGUGAAUUUGAAAUGGGCUUGGACAUGUCGUUCACGUCAGUCUGCGUUACGCGAAGUGCUUACCAAGUGCUGCGUUCGCAGAUGAUAUUCGGUUUGCCAGUGCACUUCCACAGUUCCUUAACCACGAUAGGUACCAAUAUCCUGUUCCCAUUGUCAAACUGUGGGCUUAGUCCCUGUGGCUCUGUUCACAGUAUGAUCGCAAACCCGUCCACACGGGUUUUGAUUGUCGGUGGGAUACAAUUUUUGGGACCUGGGCAACGGCUAUAGUAGUCUCGGGCACCUAAUUUUGGUUGGUGCCGGGUAUGGUUUCCGUGUGCUUGCGUGAGUAGGCCCGGAAGCUGCCUGGUAUCGUCCACUUUUAGGGCACCUGAGCCUACUUAUAACGGCCAAUGUCAGUGGUGUGUGGUAAACUUUCUACCCGACCCGUCUUGAAACACGGACCAAGGAGUUUUACAUGUGCGCGAGUCAUUGGGCCUUACGAAACCCAAAGGCAGAGUGAAAGUGAAGGUUUGUGGUGCAGACAGAGGUGAGAUCCUGUCGUCUCCUUUGCCGCCAAGCAUUCGAACGACAGGCGCAUCACCGGUCCGUCCGAUAAUGUGGUUGAGAUCAUGUGGUUUUGCGUCAUUGGGGCGGAACAUGAGCGUACACGUUGAGACCCGAAAGAUGGUGAACUAUGCUUGCACAGGUUGAAGCCAGGGGAAACCCUGGUGGAGGACCGCAGCGAUUCUGACGUGCAAAUCGAUCGUCAAAUGUGAGUAUAGGGGCGAAAGACU
rnacentral:rRNA from 1 species